GUGCUCCAUUCAGCAGUACAUAUACUAAAAUUGGAACGAUACCUAGAUUAGCAUGGCCUCUGUGCAAGGAUGACACGAAAAUUUGUGAAGCAUUCCAUAUUUAA